GGCAUUUGUGCAUGCGUGUAUGACUGUGUAGGCAUGGUACACAUGUGUGUGUCUGUGUUGGCCGGUGUGCAUGUGUGUAUGUGUCUGUAGGUAUGUGUGUACGUGUGUGUAUGUGUCUGUAGGUAUGUGUGUACAUGUGUGUAUGUGUCUGUGUUGGCCGGUGUGCAUGUGUGUAUGUGUCUGUAGGUAUGUGUGUACGUGUGUGUAUGUGUCUGUAGGUAUGUGUGUACAUGUGUGUAUGUGUCUGUGUUGGCCGGUGUGCAUGUGUGUAUGUGUCUGUAGGUAUGUGUGUACGUGUGUGUAUGUGUCUGUAGGUAUGUGUGUACAUGUGUGUAUGUGUCUGUGUUGGCCGGUGUGCAUGUGUGUAUGUGUCUGUAGGUAUGUGUGUACCUGUGUGUAUGUGUCUGUAGGUAUGUGUGUACAUGUGUG